rnacentral:tRNA from 1 species
GCCACACUGAGUGCAGUGGGUAGCACUGUCGCCUCACAGAAGGAAGGUCCUGGGUUUGAAACCCAGCCUGGGCA